rnacentral:rRNA from 1 species
CCUACGGGUGGCUGCAGUGAGGAAUAUUGGUCAAUGGACGAGAGUCUGAACCAGCCAAGUAGCGUGAAGGAUGACUGCCCUAUGGGUUGUAAACUUCUUUUAUAAGGGAAUAAAACGAGGCACGUGUUCCUUUUUGUAUGUACUUUAUGAAUAAGGAUCGGCUAACUCCGUGCCAGCAGCCGCGGUAAUACGGAGGAUGCGAGCGUUAUCCGGAUUUAUUGGGUUUAAAGGGAGCGUAGGUGGGUAAUUAAGUCAGUUGUGAAAGUUUGUGGCUCAACCGUAAAAUUGCAAUUGAUACUGGCAGUCUUGAGUACAGUUGAGGUAGGCGGAAUUCGUGGUGUAGCGGUGAAAUGCAUAGAUAUCACGAAGAACCCCGAUUGCGAAGGCAGCUUACUAAACUGUGACUGACAUUGAUGCUCGAAAGUGUGGGUAUCAAACAGGAUUAGAUACCCCUGUAGUC